UGAGCCUAAGUCGGAUUAGCUAGUUGGUGGGGUAAAGGCCUACCAAGGCGACGAUCUGUAGCGGGUCUGAGAGGAUGAUCCGCCACACUGGGACUGAGACACGGCCCAGACUCCCACGGGAGGCAGCAGUGGGGAAUAUUGGACAAUGGGGGCAAGCCUGAUCCAGCCAUGCCGCGUGUGUGAAGAAGGCCUUUUGGUUGUAAAGCACUUUAAGCGAGGAGGAGGCUCCCUUAGUUAAUACCUAAAGUGAGUGGACGUUACUCGCAGAAUAAGCACCGGCUAACUCUGUGCCAGCAGCCGCGGUAAUACAGAGGGUGCGAGCGUUAAUCGGAUUUACUGGGCGUAAAGCGUGCGUAGGCGGCUUUUUAAGUCGGAUGUGAAAUCCCUGAGCUUAACUUAGGAAUUGCAUUCGAUACUGGAAAGCUAGAGUAUGGGAGAGGAUGGUAGAAUUCCAGGUGUAGCGGUGAAAUGCGUAGAGAUCUGGAGGAAUACCGAUGGCGAAGGCAGCCAUCUGGCCUAAUACUGACGCUGAGGUACGAAAGCAUGGGGAGCAAACAGGAUUAGAUACCCUGGUAGUCCAUGCCGUAAACGAUGUCUACUAGCCGUUGGGGCCUUUGAGGCUUUAGUGGCGCAGCUAACGCGAUAAGUAGACCGCCUGGGGAGUACGGUCGCAAGACUAAAACUCAAAUGAAUUGACGGGGGCCCGCACAAGCGGUGGAGCAUGUGGUUUAAUUCGAUGCAACGCGAAGAACCUUACCUGGCCUUGACAUACUAAGAACUUUCCAGAGAUGGAUUGGUGCCUUCGGGAACUUAGAUACAGGUGCUGCAUGGCUGUCGUCAGCUCGUGUCGUGAGAUGUUGGGUUAAGUCCCGCAACGAGCGCAACCCUUUUCCUUAUUUGCCAGCGGGUCAUGCCGGGAACUUUAAGGAUACUGCCAGUGACAAACUGGAGGAAGGCGGGGACGACGUCAAGUCAUCAUGGCCCUUACGGCCAGGGCUACACACGUGCUACAAUGGUCGGUACAAAGGGUUGCUACCUCGCGAGAGGAUGCUAAUCUCAAAAAGCCGAUCGUAGUCCGGAUCGCAGUCU
rnacentral:rRNA from 1 species